UUUUUUUUGGGAAGAGGGGGGGGGGGGGGCGGGCCGUACUCCACUUGCUAAGAUCAGAAUCUGAAUUGGGGAUCCACGUCCAUUGCCCAAGCAAACUUUGCCAGAAGAGAUUUGUUGAAUAUCUGCAAAAACAAAAACAGGCAGUUACAUUAUCCCCCACUCUAAUUAGAAGGCAUGCAAUUUUUGAAUUUGCUUCCACCCAGCAGUAAUGGAACCAUAAUUGUUCGUAAUGUCC
rnacentral:misc_RNA from 1 species